UCAGUAAAACAUGAGGUUGUGUGGAAUCUUAAGCAGAGCAGAGGACCUGAGGCCAGAGUUUUAAGAUUAUGAGAAAAUGAUGUCAUUACCACAAGAAGGAUAAUCAUUUUGGAUUGGCUGUUGACAGAAGGAAGGAAUUUGAGCUCAUGGAUGGAAAGGCAGAGAAAGAUGGCCCUGGCCGUCUCAGGUCCACUCUGCAAAACAAGAAUCCUCUUUAGAAGAAUGCUCCAGAUGGUUGAACUCAUGCUGGACAUGUAAUAAUGAGGAACCUUUGGAUUGUACCCAUGAAGACACAGACAGCAUUUACAGAGACUAAUGAGGACAGGCCCUGUCACUGGUACAUCAUGGCUGUGUUCAGAUGGGGACAAAGUGAUCAUACAUCAAGGAACUGCAGAAUGGAUGUGCCACCCAGG